UUUAUUGGGUUUAAAGGGAGCGUAGGCUGGAGAUUAAGUGUGUUGUGAAAUGUAGACGCUCAACGUCUGACUUGCAGCGCAUACUGGUUUCCUUGAGUACGCACAACGUUGGCGGAAUUCGUCGUGUAGCGGUGAAAUGCUUAGAUAUGACGAAGAACUCCGAUUGCGAAGGCAGCUGACGGGAGCGCAACUGACGCUGAAGCUCGAAGGUGCGGGUAUCGAACAGGAUUAGAUACCCUGGUAGUCCGCACAGUAAACGAUGGAUGCCCGCUGUUGGUACCUGGUAUCAGCGGCUAAGCGAAAGCAUUAAGCAUCCCACCUGGGGAGUACGCCGGCAACGGUGAAACUCAAAGGAAUUGACGGGGGCCCGCACAAGCGGAGGAACAUGUGGUUUAAUUCGAUGAUACGCGAGGAACCUUACCCGGGCUUGAA
rnacentral:rRNA from 1 species